rnacentral:rRNA from 1 species
UACGUAGGGGGCAAGCGUUGUCCGGAUUUAUUGGGCGUAAAGAGCUCGUAGGCGGCUGGUUGCGUCUGCUGUGAAAUCCCGGGGCUUAACCCCGGGCGUGCAGUGGAUACGGGCCGGCUGGAGGCAGGCAGGGGAGAAUGGAAUUCCCGGUGUAGCGGUGAAAUGCGCAGAUAUCGGGAGGAACACCGGUGGCGAAGGCGGUUCUCUGGGCCUGUACUGACGCUGAGGAGCGAAAGCGUGGGGAGCAAACAGG